GCAGUGGUGGCUCAGUGGUAGAAUUUUUGCUUUCCAUGCAGGAGACCUGGCUUUAGUUCCCAGCCAAUGCA
rfam:Loxodonta africana unplaced genomic scaffold scaffold_5, whole genome shotgun sequence.